GACGAACGCUGGCGGCGUGCUUAACACAUGCAAGUCGAACGGAAAGGCCCUGCUUUUGUGGGGUGCUCGAGUGGCGAACGGGUGAGUAACACGUGAGUAACCUGCCCUUGACUGUGGGAUAACUUCAGGAAACUGGGGCUAAUACCGGAUAGGAGCUCCUGCUGCAUGGUGGGGGUUGGAAAGUUUCGGCGUUUGGGGAUGGACUCGCGGCUUAUCAGCUUGUUGGUGGGGUAGUGGCUUACCAAGGGUUUGACGGGUAGCCUGCCUGAGAGGGUGACCGGCCACAUGGGGACUGCGAUACGGACCAGACUCCUACGGGAGGCAGCAGUGGGGAAUCUUGCACAAUGGGCGGAAGCCUGAUGCAGCAACGCCGCGUGCGGGAUGCCGGCCUUCGAGUUGAAAACCGCUUUCGCCUGUGACGAAGCGUGAGUGACGGUAAUGGGUAAAGAAGCAACGGCUAACUACGUG
rnacentral:rRNA from 1 species